rnacentral:rRNA from 1 species
UACGGAGGGUGCGAGCGUUGUCCGGAAUUACUGGGCGUAAAGAGCGCGCAGGCGGUCGUUCAAGUCGCGUGUGAAAGCCCCCGGCUCAACUGGGGAGGGUCACGCGAUACUGAUCGACUCGAAGGCAGGAGAGGGUAGUGGAAUUCCCGGUGUAGUGGUGAAAUGCGUAGAUAUCAGGAGGAACACCAAUAGCGAAGGCGGCGAUCUGGGAAGAUACUGACGCUGAGGUGCGAAAGCGUGGGGAGCAAACAGG